rnacentral:lncRNA from 1 species
AGGGAAGGGUGCCCAGGAAGGAGGGGGACUUUGAUGAAGGCAGAGGCAGGAUGGGAGCUUUUGAGAAUUUAUGGGUGGAGAGAAAACAGCCAGCAGAGAGGGAGAAAUUGGAGGAAGGAAAAGACAGAUGUAAGGCCUGGGAGGACACAGGCAAGGGACAGCUGGCCUUGGACACAGGAAGGUGCAGGCAGAUCGCUGCAGAGGCGUGAGGGAGGGGAGUGGCAGCGGCCAGUGCCUCCACAAACACCUCUGUUUUCUCCAUUGAGCAGGAGCUGGGCUUGUCUGUGGGGCCCAGGGGAACAAGGGGGGAAUGGGGGCCCAGGCGGAACAACUGCUACGGGAACGGAAAGGAGUUUGGGGACCAGUCAAGGGGUUGCUGAGCUGCACUUAAGACCCAGCCAAGGUUGGAGAAAAUUAAUCUGUGCUGGCGCCAAUCGGCAUGGUGAUGUGAUUUGUGCCUGCGGCACUUGGCAGCCCAGGGUGAAAUGGAGAAAACAGGUGGUUUUCUUAGCUCCUGCUCAUCCGCCAUCUCGUUGAAUCUGCCUGGCAACACUCACUGCCUCCGAUUUACAGAUGAGAAAACUGAGGCCCGGGGAGAGGAGGCCACAUGGCUGGAGUGUUGCGACAAGUGAGUGGGGACACAGGACCCAGUCCAGGAAAAUAACAGAUGCUGGUGAGGUUGCAGAGAAAAGUGAAUGCUUAUACACUGCUGGUGAGAAUGUAAACUAGUUCAGCCACUGUGGAGAGCAGUUUGGAGAUUUCUCAAAGAACUUAUAAUAGAAAUAAUAUCUGACCUAGCAAUCCCAUUACUGGGUAUAUACCCAAAGGAAUAAAAUCAUUCUACCAUAAAGACACAUACAUGUUCAUCAUAGCACUAUUCACAAUAGCAAAGACCUGGAAUCAACCUCAAUGCCCAUCAAUAGUGGACUAGAUAAAGAAAAAUGUGGUAAAUGUACACCAUGGAAUACUAUGCAGCCAUAAAAAAGGACAAUAUCUUGUCCGUUGCAGCAACAUACAUGGGGCUGGAGGCCAUUAUCCUAAGUGAAUUAAUGCAUGAGCAGAAAACCGAAUACUGCAUUUUCUCACUUAUAAGUGGGAGCUAAACACUGAGUACACAUGGACACAAAGAAGGGAGCAAUAACAUAGAGGCCUACUUGAGGGUGGAGGGUUGCUAUAACAAAAUACCAUCUAUUGGAUGGUUUAAGCAAUAUUUAUUUUUCAUUGUUCUGGAGGCUGGGAAGUCCAAGAUCAAGGUGCCAGCGUAUUUGGUGUCUGGUG